rnacentral:rRNA from 1 species
AUACGUAGGGGGCUAGCGUUGUCCGGAUUUACUGGGCGUAAAGGGUGCGUAGGCGGUCUUGUAAGUCAGAUGUGAAAUUCCACGGCUUAACUGUGGUAAGCAUUUGAAACUGCAAGGCUUGAGUACAGGAGAGGAGAGUGGAAUUCCUAGUGUAGCGGUGAAAUGCGUAGAUAUUAGGAGGAAUACCAGUGGCGAAGGCGACUCUCUGGACUGUAACUGACGCUGAGGCACGAAAGCGUGGGGAGCAAACAGGAUUAGAUACCCUGGUAGUCCACGCCGUAAACGAUGAGUGCUAGGUGUUGGAGGGGACACCCUUCGGUGCCGAAGUUAACACAUUAAGCACUCCGCCUGGGGAGUACGGUCGCAAGACUGAA